rnacentral:rRNA from 2 species
GAGUUUGAUCAUGGCUCAGAUUGAACGCUGGCGGCAGGCCUAACACAUGCAAGUCGAGCGGUAGCACAGAGAGCUUGCUCUCGGGUGACGAGCGGCGGACGGGUGAGUAAUGUCUGGGAAACUGCCUGAUGGAGGGGGAUAACUACUGGAAACGGUAGCUAAUACCGCAUAACGUCGCAAGACCAAAGUGGGGGACCUUCGGGCCUCAUGCCAUCAGAUGUGCCCAGAUGGGAUUAGCUAGUAGGUGGGGUAACGGCUCACCUAGGCGACGAUCCCUAGCUGGUCUGAGAGGAUGACCAGCCACACUGGAACUGAGACACGGUCCAGACUCCUACGGGAGGCAGCAGUGGGGAAUAUUGCACAAUGGGCGCAAGCCUGAUGCAGCCAUGCCGCGUGUGUGAAGAAGGCCUUCGGGUUGUAAAGCACUUUCAGCGGGGAGGAAGGCGAUAAGGUUAAUAACCUUGUCGAUUGACGUUACCCGCAGAAGAAGCACCGGCUAACUCCGUGCCAGCAGCCGCGGUAAUACGGAGGGUGCAAGCGUUAAUCGGAAUUACUGGGCGUAAAGCGCACGCAGGCGGUCUGUCAAGUCGGAUGUGAAAUCCCCGGGCUCAACCUGGGAACUGCAUUCGAAACUGGCAGGCUAGAGUCUUGUAGAGGGGGGUAGAAUUCCAGGUGUAGCGGUGAAAUGCGUAGAGAUCUGGAGGAAUACCGGUGGCGAAGGCGGCCCCCUGGACAAAGACUGACGCUCAGGUGCGAAAGCGUGGGGAGCAAACAGGAUUAGAUACCCUGGUAGUCCACGCCGUAAACGAUGUCGAUUUGGAGGUUGUGCCCUUGAGGCGUGGCUUCCGGAGCUAACGCGUUAAAUCGACCGCCUGGGGAGUACGGCCGCAAGGUUAAAACUCAAAUGAAUUGACGGGGGCCCGCACAAGCGGUGGAGCAUGUGGUUUAAUUCGAUGCAACGCGAAGAACCUUACCUGGUCUUGACAUCCACAGAACUUUCCAGAGAUGGAUUGGUGCCUUCGGGAACUGUGAGACAGGUGCUGCAUGGCUGUCGUCAGCUCGUGUUGUGAAAUGUUGGGUUAAGUCCCGCAACGAGCGCAACCCUUAUCCUUUGUUGCCAGCGGUCCGGCCGGGAACUCAAAGGAGACUGCCAGUGAUAAACUGGAGGAAGGUGGGGAUGACGUCAAGUCAUCAUGGCCCUUACGACCAGGGCUACACACGUGCUACAAUGGCAUAUACAAAGAGAAGCGACCUCGCGAGAGCAAGCGGACCUCAUAAAGUAUGUCGUAGUCCGGAUUGGAGUCUGCAACUCGACUCCAUGAAGUCGGAAUCGCUAGUAAUCGUAGAUCAGAAUGCUACGGUGAAUACGUUCCCGGGCCUUGUACACACCGCCCGUCACACCAUGGGAGUGGGUUGCAAAAGAAGUAGGUAGCUUAACCUUCGGGAGGGCGCUUACCACUUUGUGAUUCAUGACUGGGGUGAAGUCGUAACAAGGUAACCGUAGGGGAACCUGCGGUUGGAUCACC